rnacentral:misc_RNA from 1 species
GAUGAAGAACGCAGCGAAAUGCGAUAAGUAAUGUGAAUUGCAGAAUUCAGUGAAUCAUCGAGUCUUUGAACGCACAUUGCGCCCCCUGGUAUUCCGGGGGGCAUGCCUGUCCGAGCGUCAUUGCCGCCCUCAAGCACGGCUUGUGUGUUGGGCCCCCGCCCCCCGGCUUCGGGGGGCGGGCCCGAAAGGCAGCGGCGGCACCGCGUCCGGUCCUCGAGCGUAUGGGGCUUCGUCACCCGCUCUGUAGGCCCGGCCGGCGCCCGCCGGCGAUCCCAAUCAAUCUUUCCAGGUUGACCUCGGAUCAGGUAGGGAUACCCGCUGAACUUAAGCAUAUCAAUAAGCGGAGGA